UACGGAGGGUGCAAGCGUUACUCGGAAUCACUGGGCGUAAAGGGCGCGUAGGCGGCCUAGCAAGUCUGGUGUGAAAGCCCAGGGCUCAACCCUGGAAGGGCACUGGAAACUGUUAGGCUUGAGUUCCGGAGAGGAGGGGGGAAGUCCCGGUGUAGCGGUGAAAUGUGUAGAUAUCGGGAGGAAUACCGGUGGCGAAGGCGCCCCUUUGGCCGGAAACUGACGCUGAGGCGCGAAAGCGUGGGGAGCAAACAGG
rnacentral:rRNA from 1 species